AUUGAACGCUGGCGGCAUGCCUUACACAUGCAAGUCGAACGGCAGCACGGGAGCAAUCCUGGUGGCGAGUGGCGAACGGGUGAGUAAUAUAUCGGAACGUGCCCAGUCGUGGGGGAUAACGUAGCGAAAGCUACGCUAAUACCGCAUACGAUCUACGGAUGAAAGCGGGGGAUCGCAAGACCUCGCGCGAUUGGAGCGGCCGAUAUCAGAUUAGGUAGUUGGUGAGGUAAAGGCUCACCAAGCCGGCGAUCUGUAGCUGGUCUGAGAGGACGACCAGCCACACUGGGACUGAGACACGGCCCAGACUCCUACGGGAGGCAGCAGUGGGAAUUUUGGACAAUGGGCGCAAGCCUGAUCCAGCAAUGCCGCGUGCAGGAUGAAGGCCUUCGGGUUGUAAACUGUCUUUUGUACGGGACGAAACGGUGAGCUCUAAUACAGUUUGCUAAUGACGGUACCGUAAGAAUAAGCACCGGCUAACUACGUG
rnacentral:rRNA from 1 species